rnacentral:rRNA from 1 species
UGGAUAACCUGCCCUGAGAUGGGGAAUAACCCGGGGGAAAACUCGGGCUAAUACCACAUGAGACCGAGAGGUCAAAGGCGGCUCGCAAGAGCUGUCGUCUUAGGAGGGUCCGCGUCCGAUUAGCUAGUUGGUAGGGUAAUGGCCUACCAAGGCGACGAUCGGUAGCCGGCCUGAGAGGGUGAUCGGCCACACUGGAACUGAGACACGGUCCAGACUCCUACGGGAGGCAG